AAUCAUUAGCCUCUUAAUUAGAGGCUAGAAUGAAAGGUUUAACAUUUUCUUAACUUUUUUAAAAAUUUAUAUAAAACUUAUAUUAAAUAUAAAAAUAUAUUUAUCUACAAAUAAGACGACAAGACCCUUUCAAACUUUACUGUAGUUUAGCUGGGGUAGCUAAAUAAUUAUUAUCUUAUUAAUAUGUGCGUAUAUAAAUAGACCCAAUUUAAAAUUGAUUACAUGAACAAGUUACUGAAGGGAUAACAGCAUAAUAAAUUUAUAUAGCUCUUAUUAAAAAAUUAGUUUAUGACCUCGAUGUUGAAUUAUUUCACUUCUACACGCAAGAGUGUAGAAAGUAGGUCUGUUCGACCUUUAAAUUUU
rnacentral:rRNA from 1 species